rnacentral:rRNA from 1 species
UACACUCCUGCGGGAGGCAGCAGUGGGGAAUUUUGGACAAUGGGCGAAAGCCUGAUCCAGCAAUGCCGCGUGAGUGAAGAAGGCCUUCGGGUUGUAAAGCUCUUUUGCCAGGGAAGAAACGGUGAGAGCUAAUAUCUUUUGCUAAUGACGGUACCUGAAGAAUAAGCACCGGCUAACUACGUGCCAGCAGCCGCGGUAAUACGUAGGGUGCAAGCGUUAAUCGGAAUUACUGGGCGUAAAGCGUGCGCAGGCGGUUUUGUAAGUCUGAUGUGAAAUCCCCGGGCUCAACCUGGGAAUUGCAUUGGAGACUGCAAGGCUAGAAUCUGGCAGAGGGGGGUAGAAUUCCACGUGUAGCAGUGAAAUGCGUAGAUAUGUGGAGGAACACCGAUGGCGAAGGCAGCCCCCUGGGUCAAGAUUGACGCUCAUGCACGAAAGCGUGGGGAGCAAACAGGAUUAGAAACCCUUGUAGUCCCAUG